rnacentral:rRNA from 1 species
AAUGAACGCUGGCGGCGUGCUUAACACAUGCAAGUCGAACGAGGCGGAGGGGGGCAACUCCUUCCAGUCGAGUGGCGGACGGGUGAGUAACACGUGGGUAACCUGCCCGGAAGUGGGGAAUACCUCGGGGAAACUCGAGCUAAUACCGCAUGACAUCUUCGGGACGAAAGUCCUGGUGAUCAAAGCGGGGGUCGCAAGAUCUCGCGCUACCGGAUGGGGCCCGCGCCCGAUUAGCUAGUUGGUGAGGUAACGGCUCACCAAGGCUUCGAUCGGUAACCGGCCUGAGAGGGCGAUCGGUCACACCGGAACUGAGACACGGUCCGGACUCCUACGGGAGGCAGCAGUGGGGAAUCUUGCGCAAUGGGCGAAAGCCUGACGCAGCAACGCCGCGUGGAGGAUGAAGGCCCUUGGGUGUAAACUCCUGUCGGCUGGGAAGAAAUCCUUCGUGGCUCAUACCCACGGAGGUUGACUGUACCAGCAAAGGAAGCCCCGGCUAACUCUGUGCCAGCAGCCGCCGU